ensembl:misc_RNA Metazoa_SRP Metazoan signal recognition particle RNA
GUCGGGAGUGAUGGCUCACACCUGUAAUCCCAGCACUUUGGGAGACUGAGGCAGGUGGAUCACCUGAGGUCAGGAGUUCGAGACCAGCCUGGCCAACAUGGUGAAACCCUGUCUCUA